CUCCGUCCCAAAAUAAGUGUAGCCAUAAAUUUCCGCGCCCAAUUUUGAUCGUUUAUUUUAUUUAAAAAAAUUUUAUAAUUAGCAUUUUUGUUGUUAUAAGAUGAUAAAACAUGGAUAGUACUUUACUCGUGACUUAUGUCUUUAAUUUUUUUCAAAAAAAUUUCAAAUAAGACGAAUGGUCAAAGUUGAGCGCUGAAAACCAUGGCUGCACUUAUUUUGGGACGGAGGUA
rnacentral:pre_miRNA from 1 species